AUGAACGCUAGCUACAGGCUUAACACAUGCAAGUCGAGGGGCAUCAGGAAGAAAGCUUGCUUUCUUUGCUGGCGACCGGCGCACGGGUGAGUAACACGUAUCCAACCUGCCCUUUACUCGGGGAUAGCCUUUCGAAAGAAAGAUUAAUACCCGAUGGCAUAAUGAUUCCGCAUGGUUUCAUUAUUAAAGGAUUCCGGUAAAGGAUGGGGAUGCGUUCCAUUAGGUUGUUGGUGGGGUAACGGCCCACCAAGCCUUCGAUGGAUAGGGGUUCUGAGAGGAAGGUCCCCCACAUUGGAACUGAGACACGGUCCAAACUCCUACGGGAGGCAGCAGUGAGGAAUAUUGGUCAAUGGGCGCUAGCCUGAACCAGCCAAGUAGCGUGAAGGAUGAAGGCUCUAUGGGUCGUAAACUUCUUUUAUAUAAGAAUAAAGUGCAGUAUGUAUACUGUUUUGUAUGUAUUAUAUGAAUAAGGAUCGGCUAACUCCGUGCCAGCAGCCGCGGUAAUACGGAGGAUCCGAGCGUUAUCCGGAUUUAUUGGGUUUAAAGGGAGCGUAGGCGGAUUGUUAAGUCAGUUGUGAAAGUUUGCGGCUCAACCGUAAAAUUGCAGUUGAUACUGUCAGUCUUGAGUACAGUAGAGGUGGGCGGAAUUCGUGGUGUAGCGGUGAAAUGCUUAGAUAUCACGAAGAACUCCGAUUGCGAAGGCAGCUCACUGGACUGCAACUGACACUGAUGCUCGAAAGUGUGGGUAUCAAACAGGAUUAGAUACCCUGGUAGUCCACACAGUAAACGAUGAAUACUCGCUGUUUGCGAUAUACAGUAAGCGGCCAAGCGAAAGCAUUAAGUAUUCCACCUGGGGAGUACGCCGGCAACGGUGAAACUCAAAGGAAUUGACGGGGGCCCGCACAAGCGGAGGAACAUGUGGUUUAAUUCGAUGAUACGCGAGGAACCUUACCCGGGCUUAAAUUGCAGUGGAAUGAUGUGGAAACAUGUCAGUGAGCAAUCACCGCUGUGAAGGUGCUGCAUGGUUGUCGUCAGCUCGUGCCGUGAGGUGUCGGCUUAAGUGCCAUAACGAGCGCAACCCUUAUCUUUAGUUACUAACAGGUUAUGCUGAGGACUCUAGAGAGACUGCCGUCGUAAGAUGUGAGGAAGGUGGGGAUGACGUCAAAUCAGCACGGCCCUUACGUCCGGGGCUACACACGUGUUACAAUGGGGGGUACAGAAGGCAGCUAGCGGGUGACCGUAUGCUAAUCCCAAAAUCCUCUCUCAGUUCGGAUCGAAGUCUGCAACCCGACUUCGUGAAGCUGGAUUCGCUAGUAAUCGCGCAUCAGCCACGGCGCGGUGAAUACGUUCCCGGGCCUUGUACACACCGCCCGUCAAGCCAUGGGAGCCGGGGGUACCUGAAGUACGUAACCGCAAGGAUCGUCCUAGGGUAAAACUGGUGACUGGGGCU
rnacentral:rRNA from 1 species